UAAUGUGGUAUGAAACAAAAUUUGUUAAUAAAUAUCAGUUAGUUAUAAAACAAUAACACACUGCCUUCUAGCACUAAUCCAAAUGAUAGUUCCAAAGAAAGUAUAACUAUCGAUAAGUUUAUAAGAUUAUUACAAGAAUUUCUAAUAAAUAUAGAAAAACCAAAACAUAUCACUGCCAAGAACCCAGUGAGUUAUAUAUAGAUUUGAAUUUCACAAAAGAGAAUGAGGUUUGGACAAUUAUAAUGUUGAUUUCCUCUGCACUUAAAAGGCUAAUUGUAAUGCAAAUGAUGUUCUUUUAAUGGUCUUCCAAGCAGUCUUAUCCUAUAAUUAUAAAUGACCCUUAUUUCCCAGCCAAUGACUACUAAUAUCUCCCUAAUUUUUCCAGGUAAUAUGAGCAGAAUGUCACCAAAGAGACAUGUUUAACAAUGAUAAGUCGGAUAUGAGUUCAAUGGAACCUGUUCCUGAAACAAACAAUUUGUAUUCAACCCAAGCAAAUGUGAAUGUAACUGGAAAUAAUUCAUGAUUUCAAGAAAAUGCCUCAAAUGCUCAACUAUCAGUGCAAAUCAAUCAGGAUGGUCCACCUCCAAACACAUUGAAUACCAGUCUAAGUUUGUCAUCUCCAAACACAUCUGAUAGCCAGAAUACAUAUACAAGUUCACAAGAAAACACUCAGGAUUCAUCUCUCAACAUUUCUGGUAACUUACUUCAGAACCCCAAGCCUCAGAAUAAAUCUGGCAGCAGCAAUUUGUCGUCAUUUCGUCACAGUGAAAUGCGACAUGUCAACUCGGGUAUUUCAGAAUAUGAAGGAAUGCAGAACUGCUUUGAUUUUAUUGAUAAGAGCUUGAUUGCAUGGUGCUUUUUGCAUGAUCCAGACAUUCCACUGCUGGCUACUGCUUCAGCUUGAUUUGGGAAAACGUCAAUCCUAAAAGUGCUCCAGAAGUUCUUUGCAAUUCAAAUGACCAGAUCUGGCAUUAGUUGAUUGCCUUAAAGAAUGUGAAACAGAAAGAUGGAAGACUUGUUGAGGACCCAAACUACAUGUCAGAUCUUCAGCACUUUCAAGACAAAGAAAAUUUUCACAAUGUGCCAUUGCUCUGUGCCUGUGGAAGUCGUCUGCGAUCUAUACAAACAGUAGUUUUCAUGCAACUGUCAACAAUACUCUGUUAUCUAUAUAGAUUUUGGGACUGUUAGCAGCGCACCUGUGGUUAUUACAAGUUUGAAUGAUGUCAGAGAUGCAUUUAAGCAGCAUUCAUAUUUGAUAGAAGAAAUUAAAAGAAAAACUUUUGUGGUCAAGUACGGGGAAUAAGAAAAUGGGCAGUCAUGAUGUCAGUACAUUUCUCGACUACUAUGAUGUUGAGCAUCGGAACUUUUGGAGGAGCGCAAACAACUGAAGAUAGAACGAGGUACUGUACCUGAUGAAUGGUCUGCUAUUGCUAGCAGAAUAUUCAAGUCUGCAUUUCAAAAUUGAGCAAUCUAGAAAAGGUGUUAUUCUACUUGUUGAUGAGUUCGAUGCCCCCAUUUCUGAGGUAAUCUUUCAAAAGGAAGAAGAAGAAGAUAGAUCAAAUAUCAUAGAAAUUUCCAGUUUUCUUCGUUUUUGGACAUGCAGGCUUCUUAAGGAGUACUGGUUUAUGGAAAAGGCACUGGUGACCAUCUAUGUUGCCUUAGUAGGCAUUUUAUCACUCGGCAUGAAUAAUAUGCAGGUUUGACUUUUCUUGGACUCCCACUGUUUCUCUGAAGCAUUUGGAUUUAGAGGAUGAAAUGAAAACACUUGUUUUUGAGCUACUUGAGAGAAAUUACUUCCUUGUCAAGAGAUGACAUUCUGAGAAACAUAGAUCAGUGGUAUAAUGGAUAUCCAACCAUUCAGAACAACACAAAGAUCUCUAGCAUCUACUCCAUUUUGUCUUACUUGCAAAGUGGCGAGUAUUGGAAGGAUAAAGUUGGUUUGAGUUGCUUAGAUGCUCUUCUUGCUGAAGAAGUAUUUCAUGAAAAAGUCUUCCAGCUUAUUGGCAAUAGCCAACUAACAGUAUCAAUUGAUGUGCUUGAGUGUGUGGAUCCUGCGCACACAUGCAUUUUGAAUGAGCUAGUUAAUAAUCCUGUACCUUGAAACUAUGGACCCACAAAACAUUGAUUUGUACUUACAAUUUUUGACUGAAUGUGGUUUCUUUACUGUGACCAAUAGGACAGACAUGAACAUUAGUAUAAGAAUGCCAAAUUGUGAGAUCAGUCGUUGACUUAGACAGAAUGUGCUUUCAGGAAUGAUUAAGAAGAGAUCCUAUGAGUUUGACUUGUCCAAAGUUUCUGCACUUAUUACAAGCCUACAAUCUGUUGAGACCACCAAUGUGACAUGGAGAAACAACAAAGCACUGUGCAUUGCAGUUGCAGAAAAUGUUGCAAACUUGUACUCCAAUGUGGAGACACCCAGCAACCACUUCAAGAUACAAGCUGACCUGUAUUUUCUCAUAAGGAGAUCAGGCAAGUUUUCGAAAGCUGAUGCUGAACUUGUGGUUGACACGUGCCCAGAAUGGAUAUAUUUUUUUUAUCUCAAAGAGAACAGUAGUGGUGGUAGUAGUUAAUCAUUUCAACACUGGAACCAAUAUGGAUUCUGCUCUUGAGAAAACCUUGAAUAGAGGAUAUCACAGGAUCUGUGAAGAGAAAUUUCAUGGUGACAUUACUGUUUUCUGGGUAUAUAUUUAGCUGCCGAUGGAAAGGUCUCUCUGAUUCACUAACACAAGGUCUGUCAGUUGCUUGGUAAACAUUGAUGGAACGAAAAGUAGAGAAGCUAUAAUGAGUGAAUGAGUGUGUGGACAGCAACAGAAACACCCUGUACACUCUUGGUGGGCAGGUGUAGUUAUGAGAAGACUUGCUUGCAAUUUAUGACUAUUCAGGAAAGAAAAGCACCAAAGUUAAAGGAUUAUUGAUUUGCCUUUUUCUAAACUUAAAUGUAUUUAUUUCAUCUGUAUGCUUUGUUUUAUAGCACAAAGAAAAAUCUUAAGCAGAUUCAUCAAUUUAAUUGGAGGUAAUAUGAGCAGAAUGUCACCAAAGAGACAUGUUUAACAAUGAUAAGUCGGAUAUGAGUUCAAUGGAACCUGUUCCUGAAACAAACAAUUUGUAUUCAACCCAAGCAAAUGUGAAUGUAACUGGAAAUAAUUCAUGAUUUCAAGAAAAUGCCUCAAAUGCUCAACUAUCAGUGCAAAUCAAUCAGGAUGGUCCACCUCCAAACACAUUGAAUACCAGUCUAAGUUUGUCAUCUCCAAACACAUCUGAUAGCCAGAAUACAUAUACAAGUUCACAAGAAAACACUCAGGAUUCAUCUCUCAACAUUUCUGGUAACUUACUUCAGAACCCCAAGCCUCAGAAUAAAUCUGGCAGCAGCAAUUUGUCGUCAUUUCGUCACAGUGAAAUGCGACAUGUCAACUCGGGUAUUUCAGAAUAUGAAGGAAUGCAGAACUGCUUUGAUUUUAUUGAUAAGAGCUUGAUUGCAUGGUGCUUUUUGCAUGAUCCAGACAUUCCACUGCUGGCUACUGCUUCAGCUUGAUUUGGGAAAACGUCAAUCCUAAAAGUGCUCCAGAAGUUCUUUGCAAUUCAAAUGACCAGAUCUGGCAUUAGUUGAUUGCCUUAAAGAAUGUGAAACAGAAAGAUGGAAGACUUGUUGAGGACCCAAACUACAUGUCAGAUCUUCAGCACUUUCAAGACAAAGAAAAUUUUCACAAUGUGCCAUUGCUCUGUGCCUGUGGAAGUCAUCUGCGAUCUAUACAAACAGUAGUUUUCAUGCAACUGUCAACAAUACUCUGUUAUCUAUAUAGAUUUUGGGACUGUUAGCAGCGCACCUGUGGUUAUUACAAGUUUGAAUGAUGUCAGAGAUGCAUUUAAGCAGCAUUCAUAUUUGAUAGAAGAAAUUAAAAGAAAAACUUUUGUGGUCAAGUACGGGGAAUAAGAAAAUGGGCAGUCAUGAUGUCAGUACAUUUCUCGACUACUAUGAUGUUGAGCAUCGGAACUUUUGGAGGAGCGCAAACAACUGAAGAUAGAACGAGGUACUGUACCUGAUGAAUGGUCUGCUAUUGCUAGCAGAAUAUUCAAGUCUGCAUUUCAAAAUUGAGCAAUCUAGAAAAGGUGUUAUUCUACUUGUUGAUGAGUUCGAUGCCCCCAUUUCUGAGGUAAUCUUUCAAAAGGAAGAAGAAGAAGAUAGAUCAAAUAUCAUAGAAAUUUCCAGUUUUCUUCGUUUUUGGACAUGCAGGCUUCUUAAGGAGUACUGGUUUGUGGAAAAGGCACUGGUGACCAUCUAUGUUGCCUUAGUAGGCAUUUUAUCACUCGGCAUGAAUAAUAUGCAGGUUUGACUUUUCUUGGACUCCCACUGUUUCUCUGAAGCAUUUGGAUUUAGAGGAUGAAAUGAAAACACUUGUUUUUGAGCUACUUGAGAGAAAUUACUUCCUUGUCAAGAGAUGACAUUCUGAGAAACAUAGAUCAGUGGUAUAAUGGAUAUCCAACCAUUCAGAACAACACAAAGAUCUCUAGCAUCUACUCCAUUUUGUCUUACUUGCAAAGUGGCGAGUAUUGGAAGGAUAAAGUUGGUUUGAGUUGCUUAGAUGCUCUUCUUGCUGAAGAAGUAUUUCAUGAAAAAGUCUUCCAGCUUAUUGGCAAUAGCCAACUAACAGUAUCAAUUGAUGUGCUUGAGUGUGUGGAUCCUGCGCACACAUGCAUUUUGAAUGAGCUAGUUAAUAAUCCUGUACCUUGAAACUAUGGACCCACAAAACAUUGAUUUGUACUUACAAUUUUUGACUGAAUGUGGUUUCUUUACUGUGACCAAUAGGACAGACAUGAACAUUAGUAUAAGAAUGCCAAAUUGUGAGAUCAGUCGUUGACUUAGACAGAAUGUGCUUUCAGGAAUGAUUAAGAAGAGAUCCUAUGAGUUUGACUUGUCCAAAGUUUCUGCACUUAUUACAAGCCUACAAUCUGUUGAGACCACCAAUGUGACAUGGAGAAACAACAAAGCACUGUGCAUUGCAGUUGCAGAAAAUGUUGCAAACUUGUACUCCAAUGUGGAGACACCCAGCAACCACUUCAAGAUACAAGCUGACCUGUAUUUUCUCAUAAGGAGAUCAGGCAAGUUUUCGAAAGCUGAUGCUGAACUUGUGGUUGACACGUGCCCAGAAUGGAUAUAUUUUUUUUAUCUCAAAGAGAACAGUAGUGGUGGUAGUAGUUAAUCAUUUCAACACUGGAACCAAUAUGGAUUCUGCUCUUGAGAAAACCUUGAAUAGAGGAUAUCACAGGAUCUGUGAAGAGAAAUUUCAUGGUGACAUUACUGUUUUCUGGGUAUAUAUUUAGCUGCCGAUGGAAAGGUCUCUCUGAUUCACUAACACAAGGUCUGUCAGUUGCUUGGUAAACAUUGAUGGAACGAAAAGUAGAGAAGCUAUAAUGAGUGAAUGAGUGUGUGGACAGCAACAGAAACACCCUGUACACUCUUGGUGGGCAGGUGUAGUUAUGAGAAGACUUGCUUGCAAUUUAUGACUAUUCAGGAAAGAAAAGCACCAAAGUUAAAGGAUUAUUGAUUUGCCUUUUUCUAAACUUAAAUGUAUUUAUUUCAUCUGUAUGCUUUGUUUUAUAGCACAAAGAAAAAUCUUAAGCAGAUUCAUCAAUUUAAUUGGAGGUAAUAUGAGCAGAAUGUCACCAAAGAGACAUGUUUAACAAUGAUAAGUCGGAUAUGAGUUCAAUGGAACCUGUUCCUGAAACAAACAAUUUGUAUUCAACCCAAGCAAAUGUGAAUGUAACUGGAAAUAAUUCAUGAUUUCAAGAAAAUGCCUCAAAUGCUCAACUAUCAGUGCAAAUCAAUCAGGAUGGUCCACCUCCAAACACAUUGAAUACCAGUCUAAGUUUGUCAUCUCCAAACACAUCUGAUAGCCAGAAUACAUAUACAAGUUCACAAGAAAACACUCAGGAUUCAUCUCUCAACAUUUCUGGUAACUUACUUCAGAACCCCAAGCCUCAGAAUAAAUCUGGCAGCAGCAAUUUGUCGUCAUUUCGUCACAGUGAAAUGCGACAUGUCAACUCGGGUAUUUCAGAAUAUGAAGGAAUGCAGAACUGCUUUGAUUUUAUUGAUAAGAGCUUGAUUGCAUGGUGCUUUUUGCAUGAUCCAGACAUUCCACUGCUGGCUACUGCUUCAGCUUGAUUUGGGAAAACGUCAAUCCUAAAAGUGCUCCAGAAGUUCUUUGCAAUUCAAAUGACCAGAUCUGGCAUUAGUUGAUUGCCUUAAAGAAUGUGAAACAGAAAGAUGGAAGACUUGUUGAGGACCCAAACUACAUGUCAGAUCUUCAGCACUUUCAAGACAAAGAAAAUUUUCACAAUGUGCCAUUGCUCUGUGCCUGUGGAAGUCAUCUGCGAUCUAUACAAACAGUAGUUUUCAUGCAACUGUCAACAAUAUUCUGUUAUCUAUAUAGAUUUUGGGACUGUUAGCAGCGCACCUGUGGUUAUUACAAGUUUGAAUGAUGUCAGAGAUGCAUUUAAGCAGCAUUCAUAUUUGAUAGAAGAAAUUAAAAGAAAAACUUUUGUGGUCAAGUACGGGGAAUAAGAAAAUGGGCAGUCAUGAUGUCAGUACAUUUCUCGACUACUAUGAUGUUGAGCAUCGGAACUUUUGGAGGAGCGCAAACAACUGAAGAUAGAACGAGGUACUGUACCUGAUGAAUGGUCUGCUAUUGCUAGCAGAAUAUUCAAGUCUGCAUUUCAAAAUUGAGCAAUCUAGAAAAGGUGUUAUUCUACUUGUUGAUGAGUUCGAUGCCCCCAUUUCUGAGGUAAUCUUUCAAAAGGAAGAAGAAGAAGAUAGAUCAAAUAUCAUAGAAAUUUCCAGUUUUCUUCGUUUUUGGACAUGCAGGCUUCUUAAGGAGUACUGGUUUGUGGAAAAGGCACUGGUGACCAUCUAUGUUGCCUUAGUAGGCAUUUUAUCACUCGGCAUGAAUAAUAUGCAGGUUUGACUUUUCUUGGACUCCCACUGUUUCUCUGAAGCAUUUGGAUUUAGAGGAUGAAAUGAAAACACUUGUUUUUGAGCUACUUGAGAGAAAUUACUUCCUUGUCAAGAGAUGACAUUCUGAGAAACAUAGAUCAGUGGUAUAAUGGAUAUCCAACCAUUCAGAACAACACAAAGAUCUCUAGCAUCUACUCCAUUUUGUCUUACUUGCAAAGUGGCGAGUAUUGGAAGGAUAAAGUUGGUUUGAGUUGCUUAGAUGCUCUUCUUGCUGAAGAAGUAUUUCAUGAAAAAGUCUUCCAGCUUAUUGGCAAUAGCCAACUAACAGUAUCAAUUGAUGUGCUUGAGUGUGUGGAUCCUGCGCACACAUGCAUUUUGAAUGAGCUAGUUAAUAAUCCUGUACCUUGAAACUAUGGACCCACAAAACAUUGAUUUGUACUUACAAUUUUUGACUGAAUGUGGUUUCUUUACUGUGACCAAUAGGACAGACAUGAACAUUAGUAUAAGAAUGCCAAAUUGUGAGAUCAGUCGUUGACUUAGACAGAAUGUGCUUUCAGGAAUGAUUAAGAAGAGAUCCUAUGAGUUUGACUUGUCCAAAGUUUCUGCACUUAUUACAAGCCUACAAUCUGUUGAGACCACCAAUGUGACAUGGAGAAACAACAAAGCACUGUGCAUUGCAGUUGCAGAAAAUGUUGCAAACUUGUACUCCAAUGUGGAGACACCCAGCAACCACUUCAAGAUACAAGCUGACCUGUAUUUUCUCAUAAGGAGAUCAGGCAAGUUUUCGAAAGCUGAUGCUGAACUUGUGGUUGACACGUGCCCAGAAUGGAUAUAUUUUUUUUAUCUCAAAGAGAACAGUAGUGGUGGUAGUAGUUAAUCAUUUCAACACUGGAACCAAUAUGGAUUCUGCUCUUGAGAAAACCUUGAAUAGAGGAUAUCACAGGAUCUGUGAAGAGAAAUUUCAUGGUGACAUUACUGUUUUCUGGGUAUAUAUUUAGCUGCCGAUGGAAAGGUCUCUCUGAUUCACUAACACAAGGCACUUUUAUUUGAUAAGGUCUGUCAGUUGCUUGGUAAACAUUGAUGGAACGAAAAGUAGAGAAGCUAUAAUGAGUGAAUGAGUGUGUGGACAGCAACAGAAACACCCUGUACACUCUUGGUGGGCAGGUGUAGUUAUGAGAAGACUUGCUUGCAAUUUAUGACUAUUCAGGAAAGAAAAGCACCAAAGUUAAA